AACGACCCUGGAAUUAAAAUUGUCAAAAUAAAGGGUUCACGUGUAACGGGGACACCCCUAUGGAUUCCCAUGGAUACUAGUAAGCUGGUGAAAUGAGAAACGGUGAUGAUUAAUUAUUGUUAAUGAAUAUGAAUUUAUGAUAUGUUCUAUGUUACUGAUUGUGCAUGAAGUUAUGAUCUGUAUGAUGUUAUUGUCUUUAUAGGUUGUUUUCACAGGUUCUCCAAUGGUAAGAAAAAGGGAAAGUGGUUUUAAUUUUAAUGAAUGUAUUGGUUUAAAAUUUGUGCUCCAUUG
rnacentral:lncRNA from 1 species